UGGAUUAUCUGUUUCAACUUUAAAGGUUGGGCCUAAAAGCCCAAUCAAAGGAAGGGAAGAGUAACGGAAACACAAUUGCCAAAUAGGCCGAAAAAAAAAAGAUUCAGGGAGGAAACCAUUGCUUGAAUUGAAUCGAGCGUUGUUCUUCAGAUCAUCUCUCGCCUUCCACCUCAGAUUCAUCUACUCCUCCGCCGCUACUCCUAGUUGUACGGUUUGCUGCAAUGGCCACUGGAGAUACUCGGUCGUCUUUCCCCGGCGGCCUCGGCUGUGAUGGCGCGGCGGCUCAGUCUGCCUCGGCUUCCUGCCCCACCGAUUUUCUCACGCUUUGUUAUCCCCUCAAGGGAAGUUUCAGACCAAUAUAGGGAAAGCUUGGGCAUCGGAGAUAGCUUCAAGAAGAGGAAAGCAACACUACUAAUCUUAAUCCUCGUCCGAGAAAAUUAACACCAACGGAGAUUGAAGGAACACUUGAUAGCUUGUCGGGAAAUUCGAAAAAGAACAUCUGAUCAGAACGGAGGUUUGUCAUUUUCGUCAAUCUAAGAACGAGGUUGGGAUUUCGGAAAUUCUGUUCGCUGUCUCUCGCAUGUCUAAAUCAUUCAUUUGCAUAAACUGAGGUGACUUUGUUACAUGAAAUAAGGGUUUGCCAAAAUUGAUUGUUAUGUCGUGUGGAGGGGAUGUUUUCUCUUCUUGUUUCUGAAUACAAAACUCUAAACCCAAUCUAACCAUUUCCUGAUCUGGGUU